rnacentral:rRNA from 1 species
CCCCCGGAGGCCCUCCAAACGCUGCAUCUGUGCGUCGGAGUCUCAAUCGAAUUGAAACAAAACUUUCAACAACGGAUCUCUUGGUUCUGGCAUCGAUGAAGAACGCAGCGAAAUGCGAUAAGUAAUGUGAAUUGCAGAAUUCAGUGAAUCAUCGAAUCUUUGAACGCACAUUGCGCCCCGUGGUAUUCCGCGGGGCAUGCCUGUUCGAGCGUCAUUU